rnacentral:hammerhead_ribozyme from 1 species
ACCCAGUUGAAUAGUCCCAAAUAAAAUGAAACGCGCGUCCUGUAU